rnacentral:rRNA from 1 species
ACGAACGCUGGCCGCGUGCUUCACCCAUGCAAGUCGAACGGAAAGGCCCUGCUUGCAGGGUACUCGAGUGGCGAACGGGUGAGUAACACGUGGGUGAUCUGCCCUGCACUUCGGGAUAAGCCUGUGAAACUGCGUCUAAUACCGCCUAGGAGCCAUUUUUACUGUGUUGUUUGGAAAGUUUUUUCGGGGUAGGAUGAGCUCGCGGCCUAUCAGCUUGUUGGUGGGGUAAUGGCCUACCAAGGCGGCGACGGGUAGCCGGCCUGGGAGGGUGGACGGCCACAAUGGGACUGAGAUAAGGCCCAGAAUCCUACGGGAGGCAGCAGUGGGGAAUAUUGCAAAAUGGGCGCAAGCCUGAUGCAGCGAAGCCGCGUGGGGGAUGACGGCCUUCGGGUUGUAAACUCCUUUCGCUAGGGACGAAGCUUUUUGUGACGGUACCUAGAUAAGAAGCACCGGCUAACUACGUG